UACGAAGGGGGCUAGCGUUGCUCGGAAUCACUGGGCGUAAAGGGUGCGUAGGCGGGUCUUUAAGUCAGGGGUGAAAUCCUGGAGCUCAACUCCAGAACUGCCUUUGAUACUGAAGAUCUUGAGUUCGGGAGAGGUGAGUGGAACUGCGAGUGUAGAGGUGAAAUUCGUAGAUAUUCGCAAGAACACCAGUGGCGAAGGCGGCUCACUGGCCCGAUACUGACGCUGAGGCACGAAGCGUGGGGAGCAACAGG
rnacentral:rRNA from 1 species